GGCCUCGUGGUGUAACGGUAACACAUCCUGUUAAAUUACAUGUUUGUUACCGAGGUUUCUGAGAAAGUCCCUUGUUCGAAUCAAGGUCAGGCCA